UACGUAGGGUGCAAGCGUUGUCCGGAAUUAUUGGGCGUAAAGAGCUCGUAGGCGGUCUGUCGCGUCUGCUGUGAAAACUCAGGGCUUAACCCUGAGCUUGCAGUGGGUACGGGCAGACUAGAGUGCGGUAGGGGAGACUGGAAUUCCCGGUGUAGCGGUGAAAUGCGCAGAUAUCAGGAGGAACACCGGUGGCGAAGGCGGGUCUCUGGGCCGUAACUGACGCUGAGGAGCGAAAGCAUGGGGAGCGAACAGG
rnacentral:rRNA from 1 species